GGGUUUGUAGCUCAGUGGUAGAGCGCUUGCCUAGCACGUGUGACACACCAAGUUUGAUCCUCAAAACCA
rnacentral:tRNA from 1 species